GGGCCCGCACAAGCAGCGGAGCAUGUGGUUUAAUUCGAAGCAACGCGAAGAACCUUACCAGGUCUUGACAUCGAAGUAAAGCCAUAGAGAUAUGGUGUGCCUUCGGGCAACUGAAGACAGGUGGUGCAUGGUUGUCGUCAGCUCGUGUCGUGAGAUGUUGGGUUAAGUCCCGCAACGAGCGCAACCCUUAUUGUCAGUUACUAACGGGUAGAGCCGAGGACUCUGACGAGACUGCCGGGGACGAACUCGGAGGAAGGUGGGGACGACGUCAAAUCAUCAUGCCCCUUAUGACCUGGGCUACACACGUGCUACAAUGGUGGCAACAAAGAGGAGCGAGCCCGUGAGGGGAAGCGGAUCUCAAAAAAGCCAUCUCAGUUCGGAUUGUGGGCUGCAACCCGCCCACAUGAAGUUGGAGUUGCUAGUAAUCGCGAAUCAGCAUGUCG
rnacentral:rRNA from 1 species